rnacentral:lncRNA from 1 species
UUUGAAACAAACAUCAGAGUCGACGUAGUUCGGGGAAACGGGAAACGUGCUCGCUAGGAUGUCGCAUCCUAUGCAUACGUAUCUUCUCUAACUAGAGAAAGAAUCAGAGCACUCGUAGCUCGGCUAACGCACGCCAAACAAAACACACAACUAGAAACGGAAGGCAAAUCGUUGGUCUUACAUCCAACUCCAGACACACAGGCAAACAAGGAAACCGAAUGCCAAUCGCUGGACUUAUAUCAGACUCCGAACCAACAAACACACACAGGAAACCAACUGCCAAACGCUGGACUUACGUCAGACUCCAC